rnacentral:rRNA from 1 species
AGCAGCCGCGGUAAUUCCAGCUCCAAUAGCGUAUAUUAAAGUUGUUGCAGUUAAAAAGCUCGUAGUUGAAUUUCGAGAUCAAUUUGUCGGUCGUGCCUCGGUACGUACUGGCAUUAUUGAUUUCUCCCUUCUGAAGAACCGCGAUGUCAUUAAUUUGGUGUCGUGGGGAAUCAGGACUGUUACUUUGAAAAAUUAGAGUGUUUAAAGCAGGCGCACGCUUGAAUACAUUAGCAUGGAAUAAUGGAAUAGGACGUUUGAUUCUAUUUUGUUGGUUUCUAGGAUCGACGUAAUGAUUAAUAGGGAUAGUUGGGGGCAUUAGUAUUCAAAUUGUCAGAGGUGAAAAUUCUUGGAUUUAUUGAAGACUAACUACUGCGAAAAGCAUUUGCCAAGGAUGUUUUCAUUAAUCAAGAAACGAAAGUUAAGGGGAUCGAAGACGAUCAGAUACCGUCGUAGUCUUAAACCAUAAACUAUGCCGACUAGGGAUCGGAUGAUGUUAAUUUUUUAAUGACUCAUUCGGCGC